AUGCCAGCCGGCUGUACGUCGGACCCGCCGCCGGCCAACGCCGAGCCCAUCAACGACACUGGCAGCACCUCUAUUUGGGGUGGGUGGGCGACUCUGGGACCCGGGCGACUCAAUCCCGUCCUUUCUGUCUCCGCAGGGCUGCGGGCGGCCGUGCAACUGGUCGAGUCCGGAGGGGGCCUCCAGACACCCGGGGGGUCCCUGCGCCUCCUCUGCAAGGGCUCGGGGUACACCUUCAGCAGCUACAGCAUGGCAUGGGUGCGACAGGCGCCCGGGAAGGGGCUCGAGUGGGUCGCGGGUAUUUACAGCAGUGGUAGUAGCACCUACUACGCACCGUCGGUCAAAGGACGCUUCACCAUCUCGAGGGACAACUCCCAGAGCACGCUCACGCUGCAGAUGAACAGCCUCAGGGCCGACGACACGGCCACCUACUACUGCGCGAAAGGUGCUGAUGACGAUGCUGGUGGCACUGACCCUGGCACCGAGCCGCAACAUCCCUGCGCUGCGUCCCGAAAUCCCGGCAUCUUCCUCAAACUCCCAUCCAGUUCUUGGUCCCUUGAGCCCCACCUGGACCCCUGCACCCAACCCAGACCCUCGCCCUGA